rnacentral:rRNA from 1 species
GAUGAACGCUGGCGGCGUGCCUAAUACAUGCAAGUCGAGCGAACAGACGAGGAGCUUGCUCCUCUGACGUUAGCGGCGGACGGGUGAGUAACACGUGGAUAACCUACCUAUAAGACUGGGAUAACUUCGGGAAACCGGAGCUAAUACCGGAUAAUAUAUUGAACCGCAUGGUUCAAUAGUGAAAGACGGUUUUGCUGUCACUUAUAGAUGGAUCCGCGCCGCAUUAGCUAGUUGGUAAGGUAACGGCUUACCAAGGCAACGAUGCGUAGCCGACCUGAGAGGGUGAUCGGCCACACUGGAACUGAGACACGGUCCAGACUCCUACGGGAGGCAGCAGUAGGGAAUCUUCCGCAAUGGGCGAAAGCCUGACGGAGCAACGCCGCGUGAGUGAUGAAGGUCUUCGGAUCGUAAAGCUCUGUUAUUCGGGAAGAACAAAUGUGUAAGUAACUAUGCACGUCUUGACGGUACCUAAUCAGAAAGCCACGGCUAACUACGUG